UCGAACGGAGGGUGUUUCUUAAAGGGAGAGGCGCUUGGGUUAUCUUUUCCGUCCCACUUUCUUGAAUGGAAUGGACCUCUGAGGUUCCACGACGCGCCUCCACUCGAGCCGGGACGCGUGGUUUGAACUGCUUCUGAGAAGCCUCAAAGAGGCGCCUCGCGCUUUGCUGCUUCUUAGCAGACGGAGCGCUCGGGCCUGCGUGCAUCACAGCUGCACGGACUAGUGUUCAAGCUCUCCGCCAGGGUAUCCGGAUUGGGAAACUUCUCCCGGGUAGUCUGGCACCCCGACACCCUCGGGGACAAAAGAGCCACUCACGUCCCGCCUUCGCGCCUUAGUGCUAAGAGAGGUUCACUUUGGACCUGGAACUUUACGAGGGGGAAGAAAGCAGAGACUGACUGAGUUUGGAGACCUGAAGUAUCUGAUGCCACGUAUGGUUUCGUCUGAGCUCCUGAGAGUGGAAGGGGGGAGAGUAUUGAAGCAAAAUGGGCAGCUGUCUUUUGGAGUUAGGAGUUGUAGUUGGCUACUUUAUGUCUCUUCACCUCAGCUGCAGUCAUUCAAAUAUUUGGGUCCGAACUGUUCCAGGCCGGGUUUUCUUGAGAAGAUUGAGCAGAACCAAACAGAAUCCUUGUUCUAAAGAGUAGGUCUUCCUAUAACAUGAAAGAAUAAUUAGCAGGAUGAGAGUGAGCCAUGCCCUUGGACCACCUGGAGAGGAGGGCAGAACCCACAGUGUUAGGAGGUUCCCAGAUUAGGGGUCUCAUUGGAACUACAGCUGCCAGCCUAUACCACAGCUACAGAAACUCGGGAUAUGAGCCGUGUCUGCAACCCUACACCACAGCUCAUGGCAAUGCCAGAUCCCCGACCUGCUGAGUGAGGCCAGGAAUUGAACCCCCAUCCUCAUGGGUACUAGCUGGAUUGUUUCCCCUGCGCCACAACAGGAACUCCAGUAUUUGUCUUUUUCUGACUUACUUCACUAGUAUGUUGCUUUCAAGGUCCAGCCGCAUUAUCACAAAUGGGAAGAACUCUUUUUUAUGGCUGAGUAUUAUUCCAUUGUGCAUAUACACAUCUUCCAUCUCCAUUCAUUCAUCACUGGAUACUUAGGUUGUUUCCAUAUCUUGGCUACUGUAAAUAAUGCGGCAGUGAACAUGGGGGUGCACGAAUCUUUUCAGAUCUGUGUAUUUGUUUUCUUUGGAUAAAUAUCCAGAAGUGGAAUUUUUGGAUUUAAUUUUUUGAGCAACCUUCAUACUCUUUUCUGUAGUAGCUGCAGCAUUUUACAUUCCCAGUCAUGGUGCCCAGAGGUUUCCUUUUCUCUACAUCAGUGUUACCACUUUUUCUUGUCUUUUCGAUAAAAGACAUUCUAAUAAGUUUGAGGUGAUACCUCAUUGUGGUUUUGAUUUUUCUAAUGAUUAGUGAUAUUUAGGACUUUUCAUGUACCAAUUGGCCACCUGUAUGUCUUUUUUGGGAAAAAAGUGUAUGUCUUAUGCUCAUGUUUUGCUUGUAUUGGGUUUGUUUUUUUGUUUUUUGCUGUUGAAGAUCUAGCAUUGCUGCAGGUGUGGCAUAGGUUACAACUGUGCCUUAGAUCUGAUCCCUGCCCUGAAACUUCAUGUGCUGUGGGGCAGCAAAAAAGAAAAGAGAGAGAGGGACACUUAAGCAAACAAUAUAGGGUUUGGCCUUUAUUGGUUCUUCACUCUUUAACAGUUGAAAAAAGUUAUGAAACAAUUGGGAUGAUUUGAACAUUCAAGUUUAUGCUUUCAAGGAGUUAUUUAAAUGUCAUGAUAUUGUUAUAUUUUAUAGAAUAAUCCUUCUAGAGGUCCAUAUUGAGAUGUUAGAGUUAGAUGUUAAUUAGGGUUUCCUGGAAUUUGCUUCAAAAUAAUCCAAGAGAAGAUGGGAGAAAAUAUAAUAAAAGCUGUAAUAAGUUGCUGAAUCAAACAUUUAAAAGUUGAAAGAUAAGAAUUAGAGUGAAGUAGGCAGUAUGAGCUGAAUGAGGAAGGCUUCAUGGAAGAGGGUUGACACAAAAUGGAAAAGCAGGAUUGGGGAUGGCAGGGGGUAUGGCUUGAGUUUAAGUGGUUAGACUAGUAAGGUAGAUUGAUUUUCUCUUUUAGGAAAUAGGUGGUUCUUAGCUUUUUGGUCACAGAUUCCUUCAAGAAAUCAGUAAAAGCAGCAGACUGUUUUCCCAGAAAAAUUUAAGUUUUGCAUUAUUGCAUUUUAUAAUCAGUGGCUUUUCGAAUCCCCCCCCCCCCGCCGCCGAAAUCACUUGCGUGGAUUCCCCUAUAUCUCUACCUUCAGGGUCAGGGUCUACAAGAAACUGUCUAAGAGCUUACAGUUUAGGGGGGAACAUCUUACUUUACUGGUUCCUGUGAUCUCAUUCAGAGUGGAACCUUGUAAUUAUUAAUGGCUAGUUCAGCUGCGGUAUUCUCUUUAGUGUGAAGAUAAAUUUGUUUCCUGACCUGCUGCAGCAGAGAUGGGUUUGAUGAUGGUGUAUUUUACUAGGUUUUACCAUAUGAAAUUGCUGAUAUUCAGCUGUUUUUGAAAUGGCUAUUUUGGAGUUCCCAUUGUGGUGCAGUAGAAAUGAAUCCAUCUAGGAACCAUGAGGUUGUGGAUUCAAUCCUUGGCCAAUGGGUUAAGGAUCAAGCAUUGCUGUGAGCUCUGGUGUCAGUCACAGACUUGGCUCAGAUCUGGCGUUGCUGUGGGUGUGGCGUAGGCCAGCAGCUGUAGCUCUGAUUCGAAGACCCUUAUUCUGGGAACCUCCAUAUGCUGCAAGUGCGGCCCUAAAAAGCAAAAAAGAAAAGAAAGAAAUGGCUAUUUCAAUAAUGGUUCUUUCUGUAAUUGCUAAAUUAUUUCAUGCUGAUCAGAUAUAGGGUAGGUUACCUGAUAGAGGAUACAAAAGGAAGAGAACAGCCCUUACAAAAGCAGCUUUAGGACUGGACAGUGGAGUCACAGUGGUAUCUGAAAUAGUGAAGGAUCUUUGCUUAACACACUUUAUUUUUAUUUUUUGUCUUUUCUAGGGCUGCUUCCGCAGCAUAUGGAGGUUCCCAGGCUAGGGGUCUAAUUGGAGCUACAGCUGCUGGCCUACGCCAGAGCCAUAGCAACAUGGGAUCCAAGCCCUGUCUGCGACUUACACCACAGGUCACGACAACGCCGGAUCCUUACUUAACCCAGAGCAAGGCCAGGGAUCGAAUCCUCAACCUCAUGGUUCCUAGUCGGAUUGGUUAACCACUGAGCUAUGACGGGAACUUUUUUUUUUUUUUUUUUUUUUUGCUCAACACACUUUAUUUUCAAAUUUUUGGUUGUCUUUUCACUCCCAAUCUUUUUGUUUUGUUUUGCUUUUUAUGGCCACACCUGCAGCAUAUGGAAGUUCCCAGGCCAUGGCAUAGCCACAGCCAUAGGAUCCCAGCAUUCCUACACUGCAGCUCUCAGUAAUGGCACAUCCUUAACUCACUGAGCAGGGCCAGGGAUUGAAACUGCAUCCCCAUGGAUACUAGUCGAGUUUGUCACUGCUGAGCCACAGCAUUAACUCCCUUCAUUCCCAAUCUUAUGUACCAUCUUAUGUACUUGCUUUUCUCUUUGUUGCUCCUUACUGCUAUGGAAGCUCUAAUAUGAAUGUUAAAAUUAAGCCUCACAGAUUACUUAUUACAGGUGCAUAGAACUGACAUCCUGUUCUCUCUGGUAACUGAUGCAUUGAUAAAGACACAAUACCUAUGUGGAAUUCCUACCAAUGAUGUGCAUAUGACUCUGGAUACAAGGGAAUCAGAGCUGUUCUGUAAAACAGAUGGCCUAUACCCUUCACAAAUACCAACCUCAUGAAAAGACAAAAAGGCAAAAGACCACUCUUAGUAAAGAGAGAGUUAAAUGCCAUGUGCUCUUUUUUUUUUCCCCUGCUUUUUAGGGCCACACAUGCCACAUAGGGAAGUUCCCAGACUAGGGGUAAAGCGGAGCUGCAGCUGCCAGCCUACACCCCAAUGCAGGAUCCAAGCCACGUCUGUGACCUAUGCUACAACUCAUAGCCCCUUAGCCCACUGAGCGGGGCCAGGGAUCAAACUUGCAUCCUCAUGGAUUCUAGCUGGGUUUACAACUCAUCAAGCCACAAUGGGAAGUCCCUCAUGUGUUAUCUUUGAUUUGACCUUAGAUGAAAAUUAGAGGAUAGUGUUCAAGAGCUAAAUAUCUUAAUUUUAGUAACCAUGAGGAGGAUACUCUAAGUGCUGAAAUAUUAAGCUUGAAGUGUCAUGUUCAGAAAUCAUAUAUACACACACACAGCACAUCUGAGUGCAAGUGUGGCAAAAUGCUAACAGAACAUAGGUGGCAUAUUUGUGUUGAUUAUACUGUUCUUAAGAGUUUUCUUGGAAUAGCUUUGAAAUAAAAAAUUGAAAAAUU
rnacentral:lncRNA from 1 species